rnacentral:rRNA from 1 species
GAUGAACGCUGGCGGCGUGCCUAAUACAUGCAAGUCGAGCGAACAGAUGAGGAGCUUGCUCCUCUGACGUUAGCGGCGGACGGGUGAGUAACACGUGGAUAACCUACCUAUAAGACUGGGAUAACUUCGGGAAACCGGAGCUAAUACCGGAUAAUAUAUUGAACCGCAUGGUUCAAUAGUGAAAGACGGUUUUGCUGUCACUUAUAGAUGGAUCCGCGCCGCAUUAGCUAGUUGGUAAGGUAACGGCUUACCAAGGCAACGAUGCGUAGCCGACCUGAGAGGGUGAUCGGCCACACUGGAACUGAGACACGCUCCAGACGCCUACGGGAGGCAGCAGUAGGGAAUCUUCCGCAGUAGGCGAAAGCCUGACGGAGCAACGCCGCGUGAGUGAUAAAGGUCUUCGGAUCGUAAAACUCUGUUAUUAGUGAAGAACAAAUGUGUAAGUAACUGUACACGUCUUGACGGUACCUAAUCAGAAAGCCACGGCUAACUACGUG